rnacentral:rRNA from 1 species
AACGAACGCUGGCGGCAGGCUUAACACAUGCCAGUCGAGCGAGACCUUCGGGUCUAGCGGCGGACGGGUGAGUAACGCGUGGGAACGUGCCCUUCUCUACGGAAUAGCCCCGGGAAACUGGGAGUAAUACCGUAUACGCCCUUUGGGGGAAAGAGUUAUCGGAGAAGGAUCGGCCCGCGUUGGAUUAGGUAGUUGGUGGUGUAAUGGCAGACCAAGCCGACGAUCCAUAGCUGGUAUGUGAGGAUGAUCAGCCACACUGGGAAUGAGACACGGACCAGAAUCCUACGGGAGGCAGCAGUGGGGAACAUUAGACAAUGGGGGCAAACCUGAUAUAGCCACGCCGCGUGAGUGAUGCAGGCCUUAGGGUUGUAAAGCUCUUUCAGCUGGGAAGAUAAUGACGGUAACAGCAGAAGAAGCCCCGGCUAACUACGUG